rnacentral:rRNA from 1 species
GACGAACGCUGGCGGCGUGCCUAAUACAUGCAAGUCGAACGCUGUGGGGACGGGUGAGUAACACGUGGGUAACCUCCCAUCAGAGGGGAUAACACUUGGCAACAGGUGCUAAACCGAUACUGAUGGAUGGACCCGCGGUGCAUUAGCUAGUGGGUGAGGUAACGGCUCACCAAGGCCACUAUGCUUAGCCGGCCUGAGAGGGUGAUCGGCCACACUGGGACUGAGACACGGCCCAGACUCCGACGGGAGGCAGCAGUAGGGAAUCUUCGGCAAUGGGCGAAAGUCUGAUCGAGCAACGCCGCGUGAAUGAAGAAGGUUUUCGGAUCGUAAAGCACUGUUGGUGGGGAGGCGGUAUCUAACCAGAAAGCCACGGCUAACUACGUGCCAGCAGCCGCGGUAAUUC